CAAUAUCGCCACAUAAUAUAGUCCAAAAAGUGGAAGUUUGUAAACUUUUUAAAAAUGCAAAGCCGUGUACACUUGUGCACUUCAAAAAUUCAUUGUAUACUGUACCUUCUUGCACGUCUCUGUUUCCUGUGUGUGUUGUUAGAAAUCAAACUAACUUUAGGAAACAAUAUGCCAAAAGCAUAUUUACAAUUACUUAAGACCGAUUUUAAUUUAUUUUCUUUAGACCAAAUCCCCUGUACACAUAUACGGACUCAGAGGAUGAGCAGCCUACAAAAAAACGGUUUCCCCAGGCCCCUCGAGCGAAAAUACCAGCCCUCAUCACUCCGCAGUCUGCCCCCCAGCCCACUGAUAGCAACCAUCAUAAUACCCCACCCAGCUUCCGGCACCUUUCGCCACUCCGGCACAAACCGACACAGCUUUGCGAUCUCCCCAGCAUGCAGAGUCUGAUGUCUUCCCUAUAGAUGAUUCCAGAGACUCUGUGAGGCCACUAUUGCAAGGUGAGACGCUUUGCGUUGAUUGGUGCUGCUGGACCACACUGGAGGUGCGAGUCCGCCGUGUAAUGGUUUAUGCCAUUACAAAGGAGCUGGCCUCUGUACUCAACUGGGCAGGGGAAAAAAUACCAAGGACCAGACAAAGCAAAAAAGGGCAUUUAAAGAGACAGCGCUGUGCAGAUGCAUAUUUGGUAAGUUUUAACAUUUAUUGUAGUUUUAUGAGCCUAAAGUGAACAAUAAAGGGAUCAAUUGAUGUGCUGGGUGCAUUUCACAUUUCCUAUGUCUGUUUUUUGCUAUAUUACUUUGUCUUUCUUAAUAACAAGACUUUCAUGUCCGGUUAAUCUGGAGAUGGAGUCUUUGGUCUUCGGCUUGUUUUGUCCUCUGGUUGUACACUUUGUACAGCCCGAGGACCCCAUGUUUUCUUUUCUUUUUUUUAAAGGAUACACGGCACACCAUGCUAAGACAUAUCACAUUUUCAGCUUAUAGCUCUUUGGGAAUCAAAUGCGGCAGUUUGCUGAUUUCCGCCUGGUGACUUUCAUGUUUAUUAGCCUAGGAGUUUACAUACUUUCUCCCUGCUGAAGACAAUUAACAAGAGCUUAUUCAUGUGCUCUAAUUCCCUUUUUUUGUCUUUGUUUUUUUGUGUGUGUGUCUAUUUUUGUCCUAGAUGGCCUGGCGCAGCAGGUAGGGGCGAACUCUAUGUCUGAGUUGGUCUUUGCUCAAGCAGUCCAGAAAUGGCUCAGAUAUGCUCCAGAUCGUACGGGUGGCACGCAGGACGCACAUCAUCCAUCCCCAUCCCGGAGUAAAUAAUAAAAAGUGACGUGAAACAUAGAAACGUAAAUAGGAAACUUUGUCUUUUAAUAAAGUAUUUUGCAAAUGAUACAUGUCUAUUGACCUUUUUUGUUUUUUUUCAAUAAAAAGCAACUGUGCGAAAGAGGUGGAAAAUCAACACCAUAGCUCAACAGUGUUUCAAUAUCAGAAUCUGACAUUGUUUCAAUGUCAACAGUGUUAGAAAAUAUAACAUCGAAUCAAUGUCAGGUUUCAACAUUGAUUCAACAUCAAAACCUGACGUUGUUUCAACAUUAAAAAUGGGUGCAAGAGUGACGUUGGGUCAACGUCAGAUCUCAACGUUGGUUCAAUGACAUCGCCUGAUAUUGACUCAACAUUGUUUCAAUGUUUCCUUGCUAUCUGGGAAACCGGUCCGUGGCGCAAAAAAGGUUGGGGACCGCUGCACUGGAGCACAAACUGGGUGUCAUCAGGAUGCUACAACACAGAGCGAACACCAUCCCCACUCACACAGCGGCCAGAGAGGCAGAAGAACAUCACAUCAAGAAGGCCCUGAGUAUGGCUACGUUCACACUGCAGGUCUUAAUGCUCAAUUCAGAUUUUUUGAUCAAAUCCAAUUUUUUUGUCUUCUUGUUCACACUACAAAUAAAAUGCGACAGCAAACGCUCUCCAGUGUGAACGCUCAAAGCGGCCCGCAUGCGCAAAAGAAGAUGUCACACACAACGCGCUCUGUUUAGACCCAGAGCAAACAAUAUUGUUUGACUGAUGGCCCUUAAAAUAAAGACUUCGGACUUUACGUUUCACAAUUUUUGCUUUAAGUUAUUUUGUUAUUUACAUAAUAAUGUAUAUAACCUAAUAAUUAUCCUUAUUGCUGUUUUAGAGGAGCGGUGCUUCAAAGGAUAGUUUCAGGUUUCUGUCAGAAUCUGCAGAUUAUACAGUACAAAUAAAAUGUUCACGUUUCUCCAACGUUGUCUUCCCAACAGUUUCACUGACAUCUACACUGGAUGGCCAGGAAGCGUUCACGAUGUCUUCUCGGGCGCUUCUCCGGCACUGAUAAUUGGCGUCUGUCUCGUGUCAGUGACAUAAAAGACGGAUUUAAUGCGACCUGACCGUUCAAACAGCAGUCGCUUUCUAAAACAUCGGAUAUGUAUCGGAUUCAGUACCACAUACGAAAGUGACCCAGGUCGGAUUUGAAAAUAUCGGAUUUGUGCUGUUCACACUGUCAUACCAUGAUCGGAUAUGGGUCGCAUAGGGUCAAAAAAAUCGGAUUUGAUGCGCUUUCGCCUGCAGUGUGAACGUAGCCUAAAUGUGGUUAUCCCAGCUGGACUUUUGUCAAAGCUGAAAAGGCACCUAAAGAAAGCUCCAGCUGAUCCAGGAGAGAAGGACAACUGCUGCCCAAGCGAAAACCUGUAGUGAUCCCGUAUGUGUCAGGAGUAUCGGAACAGUUGAGACGCAUUUUUUCUAAACACCAGGUCUCUGUGGCUUUUAAACCCCAAAACACGCUGCGCCAAAAACUGGUCCACCCCAAGGAUCGGGUCCCCCGACACAAACAGAGUAACAUAGUGUACGCUGUUAAGUGCCAGGGGGAUUGCCAGGAUUUAUACAUCGGGGAAACCAAACAACCUCUGGCGAAGCGGAUGGCACAACACAGAAGAGCUACCUCGUCAGGGCAGGACUCUACAGUCUAUUUACACCUACAGGCCAGUGGACACUCUUUCAAGGGAAAGACCAUCUCUGAAUCGAGGAGGGGGCCUAAGGGUACAUCUUUCGCCAUCGUACAAUGCUGUGAUUGCAGCCAUUCCGCAACUCUCUGAAUGGUACUCAUGGCCAUUGAUCAGUGGUCUUUGAUCAGUGGGUUUUGGUCAGUGGUUGUUGAUCAAUGGUCAUGAGAAUUUGCAUAAUUAUGAUUAAGGAACUGACCUCCCAGCCCAUUGUUCCCUCAGUGGGCUGGUUUCAGUCAUUAUGCAAAUGUACUGUUUAUAAGAUUUGGGGAAACCUGCAGUCAGCUGAGACUGAAGAAGUCACUUGGAUGAGUGACGAAACGUUUCUCCCACAAAACACUACGUCCAGAUGAACAGAAUCAACUUUUGGAGAAUAGUGAAUAAAACUACUGGAACGCGGAGGAAUAGAGUUCCUGUCUUGCCUGUAUUUUUUCUCUGUCACAGCAAGAACUCUGAUUACUCUGGGAGCUACUGGAUUCACAGCAAUACACAGGAAUACCAAUAAACGGUGCAAAUACACCAAGAGCAUUUAAUUACAGCAACUGUACCCUCAUGGACAAAUACUUCAUAAUAAAUGUUAAUGCUUUUGUGUUGGAAAAAUAACACAUUAAACAUAAUUACAGAUGGUAGAUUAAAAAUAACAAAACAAAACAUUUUAAACUAGUGAAUCAACUGAACUGAACUAAGAAUCACCAUAAACCAGACUGGGAGUAAAGCAGAAUCUCUGCUUCUUUAAGUAAGUAAGUAAAAUUUUAUUUAUACAGCACAUUUCUAGAUAAAAUGAUCACAAAGUGCUUCACAAAGUAUAAAACAAAACAGACAAAAGUUAACAAAAUGCAAUGCUAAAAAGAUGUGUUUUUAGUUGUUUUUUAAAAGUGACCACUGAGUCCGCAAUUCUUAAGUUCCGUGGAACUGUAAAGGUUCAAUGAUGUAGGCUGGAGCUUGUCCUUGAAGAGCUUUAAAUGUCAGAACCAGUAUCUUAAAAUGGACUCUGAAUUGAACAGGGAGCCAGUGCAGCUGUAUAAGCAAUGGUGUUACAUGAGAGUACUUAGAUGUUUUUGUCAGAAGCCUUGCUGCAGCAUUUAUUUAUUUAUUUCUGUUCAUUGCAAACACAACG